rnacentral:rRNA from 1 species
CUGGCUCAGGAUGAACGCUAGCUACAGGCUUAACACAUGCAAGUCGAGGGGCAGCAGGACGAUAGCUUGCUAUUGUUGCUGGCGACCGGCGCACGGGUGAGUAACGCGUAUCCAACCUUCCCCUUAGUAGGGCAUAGCCCGGUGAAAAUCGGAUUAAUACCCUAUGUUGUGUCAUGAGGACAUCUGAAUAACACUAAAGAUUUAUCGCUAAGGGAUGGGGAUGCGUCCGAUUAGGUAGUCGGCGGGGUAACGGCCCACCGAGCCCUCGAUCGGUAGGGUUCUGAGAGGAAGGUCCCCCACACUGGUACUGAGACACGGACCAGACUCCUACGGGAGGCAGCAGUGAGGAAUAUUGGUCAAUGGGCGUAAGCCUGAACCAGCCAAGUAGCGUGCAGGAUGACGGCCCUAUGGGUUGUAAACUGCUUUUAUACGGGGAUAAAGUGAGGGACGUGUCCCUUAUUGUAGGUACCGUAUGAAUAAGGACCGGCUAAUUCCGUGCCAGCAGCCGC